CAAUGGAUGGCCGAAAGUAAGCAAUGGUCUCUUAAACCACUCAAUAGUAUUUUAACGCAUACUUCCAAUG
rnacentral:tRNA from 1 species